GUGCUUGCUUUGGUAGCACAUAUACUAAAAAAUUGGAAAGAUGUGGGGAAGAUUAGCGUGGCCCCUGACCAAGGAUGACACACAAAUUUGUGGAAUGUUCCAUUUUUUU